rnacentral:rRNA from 1 species
UACAGAGGGUGCGAGCGUUGUUCGGAAUCAUUGGGCGUAAAGCGCUUGUAGGCGGCUUGUUAAGUCGCGUGUGAAUCCCUUGGCUCAACCAAGGAAGUGCGCGCGAACUGGCGAGCUGGAGUGCCGGAGAGGGUCGCGGAAUUCCCGGUGUAGAGGUGAAAUUCGUAGAUAUCGGGAGGAACACCAGUGGCGAAGCGGCGACCUGGACGACAGUUGACGCUGAGCACGCGAAGCGUGGGAGCAAACAGG